rnacentral:rRNA from 1 species
UGUGUAGGCGGUUCUUUAAGUUUGCUGUGAAAUCUCCCGGCUUAACCGGGAGGGUGCGGUGAAUACUGAGGGACUAGAGUACGGGAGAGGAAAGUGGAAUUCCUGGUGUAGCGGUGAAAUGCGUAGAUAUCAGGAGGAACACCGGUGGUGUAGACGGCUUUCUGGACCGUAACUGACGCUGAAACACGAAAGCGUGGGUAGCAAAC